GGGGAGGAGGAGGAGCAGUGGGAGGAAGAGGGGGAGGUGAUAUAGGAGGAGGGGGAAGGGGAGGGUAUAAUCACUGGACGACCCAGCAGAGACCUAGAACCACAGAGAGAGAGAGACAGGGGUUGGGGGAAAGAGAGAGUGUGUGUGUCUGCGCCUACAUGUGUGUUUGUGCAUGUGUGUCUGUGCAUAUGCGUGCGGGCGUGUGUGUGUGUGCGUGUCUGUGCGUAUGCAUGUAUGUGUGUGUGUAUCGUCGUAUGCAUGUCUGUGUGCGUGGGUGUGUGAACACUGAUGAUAAGAGAGUAUAGGGGGAGAGGGGACAGAUUGAUUUAUGGAUUAAACUCCGUCAGGGUUUGGGAUCAAAACUCAAGAAAGGGAGAGUGAUUUAGACAGAGUGAGAAGUUGUGAGGGAGUGAGAGACGGAGGAAGGUUAUGGGAGUGAAGUAGACCGCCUCAGAGCACAGGAUUCAAAGAGUGAGUGGUGCCCAGGUGUGGGGGCGUGUCUGGAUUAUGACCCAGGUGUGGGGGCGUGUCUGGAUUAUGACCCAGGUGUGGGGGGCAUCUGGAUGGACAGAGCAGCGUGUGGAUUAGCACCCCGUCCCAGGAUUACCACUGAGCCUGCCGGCUGAUUUGGCGACGGGGAACCAGAUUAAACUCUGAUGAAGUCGCCCUCCCGAAGAUCCGUCGGUGCUGGGGUAUGGAUGGUUACCGUGGUAACCACCAUGGUGAAGAUGAUGAUGUCAUAGUUGUAGCGAUGGCGAUGAUGAAGACGAUUGGUGAGUGUGUGGUUCUCACCAAUGUGAGGGUGAUGAAGUUGAGGGUCAUACUCACGCUCUCCAUUUAGGUCCUCACAUGUCUCUGUCUACCUUUCCCCCUCCUAAAUCCUCAGUCCCCCUCUGGCCUCUCUGAGGUCCUCAGUCCCCCUCUGGUCUCUCUGAGGUCCUCAGUCUCCCUCUGGCCUCUCUGAGGUCCUCAGUCCCCCUCUGGCCUCUCUGAGCUCCUCAGUCCCCCUCUGGUCUCUCUGAGGUCCUCAGUCCCCCUCUGGCCUCUCUUAGGUCCUCAGUCUCCCUCUGGUCUCUCUGAGGUCCUCAGUCCCCCUCUGGUCUCUCUGAGGUCCUCAGUCUCCCUCUGGUCUCUCUGAGGUCCUCAGUCUCCCUCUGGCCUCUUUGAGGUCCUCAGGCCCCCUCUGGCCUCUCUGAGGUCCUCAGUCUCCCUCUGGUCUCUCUGAGGUCCUCAGUCCCCCUCUGGCCUCUCUGAGGUCCUCAGUCUCUCUCUGAGGUCCUCAUUCUCCCUCUGGCCUCUCUGAGGUCCUCAGUCACUGUGUGUGUCAACACUCCCACAGAUUACAGACCUACCUAACCCUCCAGGGAUUACUGCCCAUGAUUAAAAAACGCUGUCGAAGACAGAGAUUAUUAGAGGUAUUGGUGUCCUGGGGGAGAGGGGAGGCUAAUGCUACGUUCACAGAAGGAGGAGGAGGGGGAGUUCAUGAGGUCUGCAGGCUAACCCCGCGACCCUUGGCCAUGAAUUAGCGAGGGAAAUCCUUGCUAAGGCGUGGCCGUUGAUCUGUGAUCAGGAGGGAAACCGCUGGACUUCCCCUUUUAAUGACUGCAUAAUCGCCGCAGCAACGCCAAGGCAUCAUCGCACUGAGGAGGAGCGAGCGCACGGACAGCUUCUGAGGCUUCUACCGACAACCCACUGGGCGAGGAAGUCUGCGUCGUAUGGACAGGGAACCGUGCUUGAACCGCGCUGGAACCCUGCUCUACCAGAAGCCUGCUCUAGAACCCUGCUCUAGAACCCUGCUCUACCAGACUAGACCUUGAGCUGCGUUCCUUCUCUUCUUGUUUUCUCUGAACUCUGAACUCUGAGACUUGAAGGUUAAUGAUGACGGGACAGAGAGCGAUAUUUGAUGGAUCUGAUUGGCUGAAGCUGUAGCCUGCUAGGCUGUCCAAGGAUACAUCCUAAGACCUUUACCCAUCACUAUCAUUCCUCUCCCUCUCUCCCCCUCUUUCUGUCUCUUCCCCUCACUGUCUCUCUCUCUCCUUCCCUCUCUCUCUCUUGAUCUCCAUCUCUGUGUCUCUCUCUCUCCCACCCAGCCGUCACAAUGCUUGAGAACAUGUCCCGGCGUGGGCGGUCCCUGGUGUCUCUGUCUCUCACCUCAUUGGCCCUCACGCUGUCCGUCAUGGCCUUCUGCACCUCCUAUUGGUGCGAGGGGACGCACAAGGUGGUCAAGCCCCUCUGCCUGUCCCCUGUCAAGAUGAAGAACUGUGGACAGAACAUCAGCCAGCCCUACACCACAG
ensembl:lncRNA